UACGUAGGUGGCUAGCGUUGUCCGGAUUUACUGGGCGUAAAGAGCGCGCAGGCGGUCGAUCAAGUCGAGUGUGAAAGCCCCCGGCUCAACUGGGGAGGGUCAUUCGAUACUGAUCGACUCGAAGGCAGGAGAGGGUAGUGGAAUUCCCGGUGUAGUGGUGAAAUGCGUAGAUAUCGGGAGGAACACCAGUGGCGAAGGCGACUACCUGGCCUGUUCUUGACGCUGAGGCGCGAAAGCUAGGGGAGCAAACGGG
rnacentral:rRNA from 1 species